rnacentral:rRNA from 1 species
AAGUGACAGGUGGUGCAUGGUUGUCGUCAGCUCGUGUCGUGAGAUGUUGGGUUAAGUCCCGCAACGAGCGCAACCCUUGAUUUUAGUUGCCAGCAUUUAGUUGGGCACUCUAAAGUGACUGCCGGUGCAAGCCGGAGGAAGGUGGGGAUGACGUCAAAUCAUCAUGCCCCUUAUGACCUGGGCUACACACGUGCUACAAUGGAUAGUACAAAGGGUCGCGAAGCCGCGAGGUGGAGCUAAUCCCAUAAAACUAUUCUCAGUUCGGAUUGUAGGCUGCAACUCGCCUACAUGAAGCCGGAAUCGCUAGUAAUCGUGGAUCAGCAUGCCACGGUGAAUACGUUCCCGGGCCUUGUACACACCGCCCGUCACACCACGAGAGUUUGUAACACCCGAAGUCGGUAGGGUAACCUUUAUGGAGCCAGCCGCCGAAGGUGGGACAGAUAAUUGGGGUGAAGUCGUAACAAGGUAGCCGUAUCGGAAGGUGCGGCUGGAUCACCUCCUUUCUAAGGAA